rnacentral:rRNA from 1 species
AUACCCGCAGCCCGAGUGGUGACCACUAUUAUUGAGCCUAAAGCGUCCGUAGCCGGCCUCGUAAAUCCUUGGGGAAAUCGGGCCGCUUAACGGUUCGAAGUCCGGGGACACUGCGAGGCUUGGGACCGGGAGAGGUCGGAGGUACUCCAGGGGUAGGGGUGAAAUCCUGUAAUCCUUGGAGGACCACCAGUGGCGAAGGCGUCCGACCAGAACGGAUCCGACGGUGAGGGACGAAGCCCUGGGGCGCAAACCGGAUUAGAUACCCUAGUAGUCC